rnacentral:lncRNA from 1 species
CAUUAAAGGGUUACAAGAAUAAUUUUUCUUGUUUUUCUCUCCAACACUGAUAAUUUUUUGUUACCAAAGAGAAAGUCCGUGUUACGUUGGGUAUUUUAGCUCAGCAUUUGCAGGGUUGCAGUUUGAAAAACCUGAGGUCCUGCCUGGACAAGGACCGCUGUUAAUAACGGAGCUAGUGAAGGACAUUUGCUGGAGACAGAGCUCUGAUCUCAGAGAGCUGACAAUGGAAAGAAUUCUAAACGAGCAGUUCUUCAAAAGCAGGGAGGCAGUACUCGGGUGAUGUGCUCACAGCUCCCAUAACUGGGAAGUUUGGAAUCCCCGCCCCAGACAUCUUCACGGUCACCGUUGCUAUUGGACUAGACCAACCUAAGAUGCACCAUUGCACUCCAGUCUAGGCGACAGAGCAAGACUCCGUCUCGAAAAAAAAAAAAAAGUAAUAGGUGAGUGAGGGAGGUGAGUGGAUCAAGGGCAAUAUGGAUGGCUUAAGUCUGAGUGAUCUCCAGUACAUUCCAGUAGAGGGGUCAAGGCUGGUGAGAAGCAUAACA